rnacentral:rRNA from 1 species
UGUCAUGCCAAUGGCACUGCCCGGUAGCUAAAUGCGGAAGAGAUAAGUGCUGAAAGCAUCUAAGCACGAAACUUGCCCCGAGAUGAGUUCUCCCUGACUCCUUGAGAGUCCUGAAGGAACGUUGAAGACGACGACGUUGAUAGGCCGGGUGUGUAAGCGCAGCGAUGCGUUGAGCUAACCGGUACUAAUGAACCGUGAGGCUUAACCUUACAACGCCGAAGCUGUU